UGCUCGAAAAUCUUCUCUCUGUUGCGAGAGAAUUUCCAGCGAAGAAUCUCCAGAUCCUCUCUCCUCUCUCCUCUCUCCUCUCUCCAUUCCCGAUCUCUCCAUCCCUCUAUUUCUAAGGCUUUUCCAAUCCCCGAUUUCCAUUCUAAUCCCCACUUAAUCGAUCUCAGACUCUUCUCGCGUUUCCAGCAGCAAAAAUGCCUCUCAGGCUCGAAAUCAAGAGGAAACUUGCGCAAAGAUCAGAACGAGUGAAAUCUGUGGAUCUGCAUCCAACAGAACCAUGGAUUCUUGUGAGUCUUUAUUCUGGAAGUGUCUGCAUCUGGAACUAUCAGUCCCAGACUACAGCAAAGUCAUUUGAGGUCACGGAAUUACCAGUACGAUCAGCGAAGUUCAUAGCACGCAAACAGUGGAUUGUGGCUGGAGCAGAUGAUAUGUUUAUCCGUGUUUACAAUUAUAAUAAAAUGGAUAAGGUCAAAGUGUUUGAAGCACACACAGACUACAUCAGGUGUGUGGCUGUCCAUCCAACCCUUCCGUAUGUGCUGUCAUCAUCUGAUGACAUGCUUAUAAAGCUCUGGGAUUGGGAGAAGGGCUGGAUGUGUACUCAAAUUUUCGAAGGACACUCACACUAUGUGAUGCAAGUCACCUUUAAUCCGAAAGACACCAACACUUUUGCAAGUGCCUCCCUUGACCGCACAAUAAAGAUUUGGAAUCUUGGCUCUCCUGAUCCAAAUUUUACAUUGGAUGCGCAUUUGAAAGGAGUAAACUGUGUCGAUUACUUUACUGGUGGUGACAGACCAUAUUUAAUCACUGGUUCUGAUGAUCAUACUGCUAAGGUUUGGGACUACCAAACGAAAAGUUGUGUUCAGACACUGGAAGGCCAUACACACAAUGUUUCAGCAGUUUGUUUUCAUCCCGAACUUCCCAUAAUAAUGACAGGUUCCGAGGAUGGAACUGUUCGCAUAUGGCAUUCAACCACAUAUAGACUUGAGAACACGUUGAAUUAUGGUCUUGAACGAGUGUGGGCUGUUGGAUAUAUGAAAGGUUCGCGCCGGGUUGUAAUUGGAUAUGAUGAAGGAACCAUUAUGAUAAAAAUUGGUCGAGAAGAACCAGUUGCUAGUAUGGACAAUAGUGGCAAGAUCAUAUGGGCUAAGCAUAAUGAAAUUCAAACUGUGAACAUCAAGACUGUGGGGGCAGAUUUUGAGGUUACAGAUGGAGAACGAUUGCCUUUGGCUGUAAAGGAGUUGGGAAGCUGUGAUCUUUACCCUCAGAGCUUAAAGCAUAACCCAAAUGGUAGGUUUGUUGUUGUCUGUGGGGAUGGAGAAUACAUUAUAUAUACAGCUUUAGCAUGGAGAAAUAGAUCCUUUGGUUCGGGAUUGGAAUUUGUGUGGUCAUCAGAUGGAGAAUACGCAGUUAGAGAAAGUACAUCAAGGAUUAAGAUCUUCAGCAAAGCUUUCCAGGAAAAGAAAAGUAUGCGACCAACAUUUUCUACGGAGCGUAUUUUUGGCGGAACGUUAUUGGCAAUGUGUUCAAAUGACUUUAUUUGCUUUUAUGAUUGGGCUGAGUGCAGGUUGAUCCGUCGAAUUGAUGUUAAUGUCAAAAAUCUUUAUUGGGCUGAUAGUGGUGAUCUGGUCUCAAUUGCCAGUGAUACAUCAUUCUACAUCCUGAAAUACAAUAGAGAUGUUGUAUCAUCAUAUUUGGAUAGUGGAAAACCCGUUGAUGAGCAAGGUGUUGAAGAUGCAUUUGAGCUUCUCCAUGAAACAAACGAACGGGUCCGGACUGGAAUAUGGGUUGGGGACUGUUUCAUUUACAAUAACUCAUCUUGGCGACUUAAUUACUGUGUUGGGGGGGAGGUGACCACUAUGUUUCACUUGGAUCGGCCUAUGUAUCUGUUAGGCUAUCUUGCAAGCCAAAGCCGGGUCUAUCUUAUUGACAAAGAAUUCAAUGUUGUGGGAUACACCUUACUUCUCAGCUUGAUUGAGUAUAAAACUCUUGUGAUGCGUGGAGAUCUGGACCGGGCAAAUGAAAUCCUGCUCUCAAUUCCGAAGGAGCAUCACGACAGUGUGGCUCAUUUCUUGGAAUCUCGAGGUAUGUUGGAGGAUGCACUUGAAGUCGCUACCGAUCCUAAUUACAGAUUUGAUCUAGCUGUCCAGCUUGGGAGAUUAGAGGUUGCAAAGGCAAUUGCUGUUGAAGUAAAAAGUGAAUCCAAAUGGAAGCAGCUAGGAGAAUUGGCUAUGUCUACUGGAAAGUUAGAAAUGGCUGAGGAAUGUUUAUCACAUGCCAUGGACUUAAGCGGAUUGUUGCUUCUUUAUUCCGCCCUUGGAGAUGCUGAAGGGAUAUCUAAACUUGCAUCUCUUGCAAAAGAGCAAGGGAAGAAUAAUGUUGCCUUCCUUUGUCUAUUCAUGUUAGGUAAAUUAGACGAGUGCCUCCAGCUAUUGGUAGAGAGCAAUCGGAUACCAGAGGCUGCGUUGAUGGCACGGUCCUAUCUUCCAAGCAAGGUUUCGGAGAUAGUAGCAAUAUGGAGAAGCGACCUGAACAAGGUUAACCAAAAAGCUGCGGAGUCUUUGGCGGAUCCUGAAGAGUACCCGAAUUUGUUUGAGGACUGGCAGGUUGCUCUUGCCGUUGAGUCUAAUCUUUCAGAGGAAAGGGGCAUUCAUCCUCCCGCUGCAGAAUACUUGAGCCACGCUGAGAAAGCCAACAUCAAUCUUGUGGAAGCAUUCAAAAGCAUGCAAAUCGAUGGAGAGGAUGAAACACAUCUUGAAAAUGGAGAUAGCAGCCACGAGCUGGUAGAAGAAAAUGAAGAGGGUCAAGAAGAGGCCGUUGAGGUGGAUGCUGAUGAUUCUUCCGAUGGCGCUGUCCUUGUAAAUGGCAACGAGGCAGAUGAACAGUGGGGUACGAAUAAUGAAGGAACUCCGUCAGCCUAAAGCAAUUGGUUGGGCAAGUGUAAAAUUCCAAUUUUUGUCUCGGUGCUUGCACCACAUCAUUAGGUCCCACCAGGAUAGCCAGUUCCAGCAGUUAUACAGGUGAUCAUUACCUCUUCUUCAUGCAGUGAAAAUUACCACCCAUCAGAAACUAACUCCUUGUUUUCUCUAGGGCAUCCAAUGCAAAAUGCUUAUAUAUCUAGGUUAUUCAGAGGAAACCAGGAAGAGGCGAUUACCAACUGGCUGUCUCCACUUGUACCAAUGGAUUUUGGAGUACAGAAUUUUGUCAUACUGCAUUAACAAGCCAGUCGAUGGUUUUGCCAUACUAUAUAAUGUUUGAAGCUUCCGCAUACACCACUGGAACGGCAUGAUUUUGUAGGGGACAACCAGUUCCAUAUCUUUUAGCGUUAUUUUAGGGGCUCCAAAUUCAGUACACUGUAGAGAUUGAGAUUAGGCAUGCAUCAAUGCCGCGCCUUCUGCAUCCCAAAACAUUCCAAUAUGGGAUUUUCAAGAUGAGCAGGAAAAUUCAUGUUGUGAAUUCCCCCGCCCGUCCUUUGAUGUUCCGAGAUAUGCAUGCACCGUCUGUGGGCAUACGUACAAUCUCCUCUCCAUAAAUUCAUAUUUUCUUGCUGUUGUUUAACUAUUUGGAGUGUUGGGUAGGAAGGAUGAUGUUCUGACCAUUCUUUGAUUGGCAGUAGAUGGGUUGUGGCUAGCUUUGAAAUGGAAGAGAUGUAUGUUUGUUGCUUGAAGAGGAAGUAUAAAUGCUAUUAUUUGUACCUAAAUUAGUCUCUGAACAUGCUGCACGAUCAAGGCAGUUCAUCUA